CCCUUAGAUGUUCUGGGCCGCACGCGCGCUACACUGAUGCAUGCAACGAGUUUAUAACCUUGGCCUGAAAGGUCUGGGUAAUCUUUUGAACGCGCAUCGUGAUAGGGAUAGAUUAUUGCAAUUGUUAAUCUUGAACGAGGAAUUCCUAGUAAACGCGAGUCAUCAGCUCGCAUUGAUUACGUCCCUGCCCUUUGUACACACCGCCCGUCGCACCUACCGAUUGAAUGGUUCGGUGAAGAUCUCGGACUUCGAUAUUUAUUCUUUAUUGAGUUUAUAUUGUGGGAAGUUAUCUAAACCUCAUCAUUUAGAGGAAGGUGAAGUCGUAACA
rnacentral:rRNA from 1 species